GACUUUGAAAAGAGAGUCAA
rnacentral:snRNA from 1 species